AGCGAACGCUGGCGGCAGGCCUAACACAUGCAAGUCGAACGAAGCCUUCGGGCUUAGUGGCGGACGGGUGAGUAACACGUGGGAACGUACCUUUUGGUUCGGAACAAUUCAGGGAAACUUGAGCUAAUACCGGAUGAGCCCUUAGGGGGAAAGGUUUAUCGCCGAAAGAGCGGCCCGCGUUAGAUUAGCUAGUUGGUGAGGUAAAGGCUCACCAAGGCUACGAUCUAUAGCUGGUCUGAGAGGAUGAUCAGCCACACUGGGACUGAGACACGGCCCAGACUCCUACGGGAGGCGGCAGUGGGGAAUCUUACGCAAUGGGCGAAAGCCUGACGCAGCCAUGCCGCGUGAAUGAUGAAGGUCUUAGGAUUGUAAAAUUCUUUUACCAGGGACGAUAAUGACGGUACCUGGAGAAAAAGCCCCGGCUAACUUCGUGCCAGCCGCCGCGGUAAUAC
rnacentral:rRNA from 1 species